rnacentral:rRNA from 1 species
CCUUGCACACACUGCCCGUCGCUUCAUCGAAGUUGGUUCUUGGCGAGGUGGUGUCUAAUUGGCACUAUCGAACCUGGGGUCAGCAACGAGGGAG